CAAUAGCGUAUAUUUAAGUUGUUGCAGUUAAAAAGCUCGUAGUUGGAUUUCGGUUGAGAGCGGCCGGUCCGUAUUUACGAGUGCGUGACGUCUCUGUCCAUCCUUGCGGGAAGGCACGGCAUUGAUUUGUUGUGUUGGAUCGCAUCAUUUACUGUGAAAAAAUUAGAGUGUUCAAAGCAGGCUUUCGCUUGAAUACAUUAGCAUGGAAUAAUAAGAUAGGACUUUGGUGCUAUUUUGUUGGUUGAGCCUAAAGUAAUGAUUAAUAGGGAUAGUUGGGGGCACCUGUAUCGCGUUGUCAGAGGUGAAAUUCUUGGAUUUACGCAAGACAAACAGCUGCGAAAGCGUCUGCCAAGGAUGUUUUCAUUAA
rnacentral:rRNA from 1 species